UCCCUGGUGGUCUAGUGGUUAGGACUCUGUGCUUUUACCACUGCAGUCUAGGCUCAAUUCCUGGUCUGGAAA
rnacentral:tRNA from 1 species